CCGUUUCCACCUGAUCUGGACUGAUGAAAUGAAUAUGUGUGUCGAUAGCACCAGCUGUAGCAAUUAAGCCCUCUCCUGCAUAAACUUCUGUACCAACACCAAUGAUCAUGUCCUGGUCAACACCGUCCAUCCCAUUCGGGUUUCCAGCUUUGCCAAUACCGAUAAUUCGACCGUCUUUAAUGCCGAUAUCCGCCUUUACUAUACCGGUAUAAUCAAUAAUCAUUACAUUUGUAAUGACUGUAUCUAGCACGCCAUCACUUCUUUUGUUAUUACCAUUUUGCCCCAUAGAUACACGA
rnacentral:sRNA from 1 species